UUGGACUACCAAAGCUUAUUGUUAAUUUUGUGACCAUUACACUUAUGUACAUUUCAUUUAAAAUUGUGAAGCAACUGCAAGUAGAACAAAAUAAUUUGGAAAACUUGGAAUUUUUUACAUUCAAUUCAAUGUUGUACUGUAUAAGCUGGAAAAAUUAGAAAAUGUUCAAAUUAAUCUACAUACGUUUAAUCCCUUUGCAAAUGUUUCAAAAAUAAAAAAAAAAGAAUGUACAUACAACUGUUGUUUUUGCCAGAUAUAAAAUUUGCCAGGAAGGUCACAACGUAAUUCAGAUAAAAUGAUGGUGAAUUAAUGGGAAUGAAAAAUUACAAGCAAUAAAAAUGAACUGCCAGCCAAAAACAAAAUGACGAUAUUAAAAACAUAUUAUUGGCUAUCACCAUUAACUAAAAUAUUACAAUAAAAUUCAAUAAAGAUUUUAA